rnacentral:lncRNA from 7 species
CAGCAGGGUUCAUCUGGCAGCUGCCUGAAGUUAGCAGGAGAUGAGAGAGGUAUAUGAGAAGAAAAUGCUGGAAACUGACUGCCUUCCCUGCAUCCUUUACCACUGAAUGGGCCCUUUCUGGAUGUGGACUUCUACAUCAGUUUGCAUUACCAACAUGGAUCACCAGGAGCACAUCUUGAUGGACCCAGCAGAAAAGAAGCAUAUGACAUAUGUCACUCAAAUCAUUAGGACAGAGACAUUUCUUCCAUUUUCCUAGUGGCAGAUGUCAACUAGAUUCAACCAUAGAAUUUAAUCUAUGCAGCCACCCCUCCUUGUCAGAGCAGGAAUACUUCAACGGUAAUUAAGUGCCAAAAGCAGUGAGUGAGCACUGAAGAAGGGAUGACAUGGGGGCUGGACACGUACUACCUGUCUCUUGUGAUAACAACAGAAGGCCGCAUUGACUCUCCAGGGCUGUCAGAUGAAACAUCAGUGUAUUAAGAAACUGGAAUUGUUGUCAGGUUCUUCCUAUGCCCGAGGUUUGUUUUUGUGAUGGAGCAAGGGUGGAAAGCAAGAGAAAACUAGGCUUGACCAAAACCCAUCUGAAGCACUAGAAGCCUAUCUGUCGCCUUCCAUAGCUUUAGAUCUGGAGAUUCUCUCUGCCCUUUUGUGGGUUUGGCCUCAUGAUAAAUUCCAGAGCCAGGGAAUUCUAAGCAGAGACAGAUUAGCAUCUUGUUUUCAGAAGCCUUAAACUGGGAUAUAUGGAUCUGUUUAUUUUGCAGAUGCCAAUAGCUAACACAUCCAUUGUGUUCAACAUACACAGUGCUCUGAAGCUGCUGCUAAAAGAGGACAGAUAUUUUAGCUGGCUUAUUAUCAGCCUGCAUGCACUGGAGAUGGAUCCCUGGCUUUUAGUUCACCCUUGCUCUCAGUUUUAUUUCAGCACAUUGUCCUAUUAAUGAUCAGCACUCUUUGAGCUGCAUUUUAUUAAGUUGCCUGGAGGCCCUCUGGCAUCAGCAAUGUAAAUAUACUUGUGGUGAUAUUAUUAUUAUUAGAUUCAUGCUAAUAAAAGGAUAACAACCCAGCAAAAGGCCUUUAAUCAGUCUGUGCUGUGUAGGCAAAACCAGGUUUUUUUAAUUGGGAUUUUUUUCCUCCAGCCACAUAGGGUCCUCUCCAUCUGAGUGAAGAAGAAAAAAAAAGACCAUCAGCUGAGUUAUUAAUUUGCAAGUUUUUGUGUUUUUGAUGAUUUUUUCUCCUUUUCCCUGCUACAUAACUGGUUUGGAAUUUCCUCUCCCUUACUUAGGAUUUCACAGAAUGAACCACUAACAUCCAG